UACGGUGAUCCUAGAAACCAACGAAAUAGAAUCAGUCCGUCCUAUUUCAUUAUUCCAUGCUAAUGUAUUCAGACGAUAGUCUGCUUUAAACACUCUAAUUUUUUCAAAGUAACAGUCCUGAUUUCCCAUCACACCAAAUAAAUGGCAUGAAAGUUCCUCAGAAGGUAGAGAUCCAUCUCACCAGUGCAGACAAUUAAGCCUGACCA
rnacentral:misc_RNA from 1 species